rnacentral:rRNA from 1 species
GACGAACGCUGGCGGCGUGCUUAACACAUGCAAGUCGAACGGAAAGGCCUGCUUUCCCUUGUGGAUUGCGGGUACUCGCGUGGCGAACGGGUGAGUAACACGUGAGUGAUCUGCCCCCAACUUGGGUAUAAGCCUGGGAAACUGGGUCUAAUUCCCGAUAGGACUGCAGGGUGGUGCCUGUGGUGGAAAACGAUUUUCUAGUGGUUGGGGAUGAGCUCGCGGCCUAUCAGCUUGUUGGUGGGGUAAUGGCCUACCAAGGCGGCGACGGGUAGCCGGCCUGAGAGGGUGGACGGCCACAUUGGGACUGAGAUACGGCCCAGACUCCUACGGGAGGCAGCAGUGGGGAAUAUGGCACAAUGGGCGGAAGCCUGAUGCAGCGACGCCGCGUGGGGGAUGACGGCCUUCGGGUUGUAAACUCCUUUCGACCGCGAGGAAGCCACCUGGUUGGAAGGGUGGUGACGGUAGUGGUAGAAGAAGCACCGGCUAACUACGUG